AUUUACAUAGAUUAUAAUUUAGAUCGUAACACUGAAGAUGUUAAGGAGGUUAAUAUAACCUGUGAAUG
rnacentral:tRNA from 1 species